AUCUUGACCCAUUAAGGUUUUUUUCCAUCUUAAUUGCUCUCCUCUGCCCCAUCCCAUCCUGCUGAGGGGGGCAGUGGUAGAGCAGCUUGGUGGGUACCUGACAUCCAGCCAAAGUCCACCCAUCACACUUACCCACUGCUGUCUCUCAGAAAAAUCCACAUCAGAGUUUGGCUCAAAACUGAAAAUCUGUGGUUUGACUGCUCACCCAAGUGACUGCCAGGAGCAGGGAGGGGGACGAGUUGCUCCUGCAAUACUGAGUAAUAAUGGAUUGGAGGAGCCCACUGAAAAUGUUUUCACUUCAGAUCAGAUAACAUUGUUUGCAGGGCUGUUCCAAGGUUUCUGCAUAGGCUCAGUGUGAUAACUUCACCCUGUAAAGUCAUGUAGGUGCAAAAGAACUUGUGGGCCCAAGAUGGUGAUUUCUGGUGUCAGAGGUGAAGCCAGUUUAUGGCUACUCACUCAGCACAGUGCAGGCCAAGAAGCCACCUUGAGUCAAUAGGAAAGAAGAGAUUACACUGAAAAAGCAACCAGCUUACCUCUGAAAUGGGGGUAUAAUAAAUCAGGGAAAAAAACCAAAAAAACCCAAAAAAAACCACAAAAACCCCCACAGUGAUUAGCUUUUAGGAAGAAAUAGUUUCUGUUUUGUUUUUCCAAGAAUAGAAAAGUCAAGUCUCUGACAAUUAAAGACUUCAUUUUUUGACUAAAGAAAAAUAUUUCCUGCUCUCCUGCAGUCUUUUCCACAUCACUCUAGCCAGAAACUUUGCUGUCUCUGAGCAGUAAUCAUUUACCUGAAAAAUACCCUAUAAUAUUUCUCUUUGUGGAGGUUGGUAGUACAGAUGCUGACUUUGAAGCGUGAUGUACGACUCCAAGUGGCAUGAAAAGAAAUUGAUGAGACAAUUAGAACUUAUGAGAAUGGUGCUUGCAUUAAUAUGUUGGGGAGAAUCACCUAGAAUAAAGUAUUUCAAACUCCACAGAAACCUUAGAAUUUAUUUGGCAUCUCAAGUAGCUCCCUGAGUUGUUAUUGCACAAAGCACAAUACAAACAUACAUAAAAUCCUGACCUAGACUUCAGCCACUGACUAAUCUCCCUUUGACUUCAUGGGGCCAGGAUUCCAGCUGACUUCUACUCCAGGGAGUUACACAGAAACACACACAGAUCCUGAGCAUCUAGUAUGACUUCUGCUUUAUAUUGUUGUCAUUGUGGUCUAGGAUGCUGAAGAUAUUUAGUUAUCUCCCUUCUAGCCUAUAUGCCAGGGUAGGCCAGGGAACACCUGAACCUGGUGAGUACUCAGAGGAUAAGUGUGUGCCUGACUGUUACACAGAGGGAUCUUGUUCCUUGUGUGGUGUCUUUCUAGUCCAUGAGAUUCCAUGUGAGGUGGAACAGCUAUGGCAAGAGGGCAUGAAUAUUUGGCCUCAAUAUGAAGUGUCUUAAUGCAUUCCAUAACACUUGUGGCAUUUCUUUCCAUUCCAAAGCAUAUAAUUUUUGAAUAACUGCCCGUCCUUUACAUGGCCUCUUCUUUUACCCUCUAUCAGUCUGCUUCCUGUAAAGCAAUAAAAGCCUUUGCACAGCAGGAGAUUUUUAUGUCCACUUUGUGACUGAGCAGCAAGUAAAGCUGGGAGGAGAAGAGGACAGCUCAGUCAGCCUUGGUAAUCAGCUCUGGCUUGGAACCUGGAAAACCCAUUUGAACACACAUUUGCUCCUGUGUUUUUGCUUUGCAACCACUGCACUGGUUAGCAUUUGAGAUUUCUGACUAGAAAUAUUGUUCCUUUUGCAGAUAGAAGUGUUUGGUUUUAUUAUUUCUAGCUGGUGCUACUGAUGCACUUGGAAUUAAAUAGGGAGGAGAUCAUUCCUUUAUGGCUAUUUACUUAUGAACUGACCGAUGGUCCAGAUCAUGUCACAUAUAAGUAUUUCAGUACUUUCCUUUUUAGAGAUGUUGUAUCUUUCUGAAGCCUUUCUUGCCUUAUGACAACUACUUUUUUACUUUUGAUAAUUAUAUUUUUAAUGAUACAAAUAUCUUAAAUAUAUUGUCUUUUAGCAGAAUACUUUGACAUCAACAGCUACACAGGUCUCAUUUUGCAAACCACAGCUUACUCUGUACCUGUAGAAGAACUGGGCUUGAGGCAGGUGCAUUGCACCUACAAAUUUCUCCCUGCAAAACCAGAUUUUUAGUUGUUAUUUUUUACCCUUUCUGAUAUUAAAAUUUGUACUCAGUAUUAUUGGUAUUUUGACACUGCAGGAACAUCUGAUAACAUGAGUCAUGGACCAGCCUCAUUGUUGUAUUGUUAGCUGUUUUGCUUAUCUCUUUCCUUCUUCUGUAGAGUGCAAGCAUAGCUGUGAGAAGGGGGUCGUAUAAUUUUUGUUCCAUACCUUGAGAGCCUUUGUAAUAUGAAGGUUUAGAUCUAGAAUUAUAAUUGUGUGGGAUGCUGUAUGCACAAGCAGAAUGACAGCCCUUGCCAGGUAGUUUACAAUGAUGUAUUGAGAAUUCUUUAAAGUGAACGUGGACAUGGAAGAUGCACCUAUCUCUGAAAGAUAGGUACAAUUAGAUUGACAACUUGGAUGUCAGGCUUCUUGUUGAUGUAAUUUAAAAUAGUUGUUGCCACUCCCUCCCUCCCUCUAUUCCCUGAAAUAUGUCUUAUACUGGAAAUGCUGACAAGACCCUCAUCAUUUGCGAUGGCACCGUGCACAGCUUUAAAUACUGGUUAUAAAUGUUAAUGUGUUAUCUGAAUGAUAUUUUUUCCAUAUGUAGGCAGCUCAGGAUAGAGUUUCAGUAAUAAAUUUAACGAGUUCAGGGGGAAGAUGCAGUAUAUGCUUAUGUGAGUAUUAUAAUGAUUGGCAUUUUUGCAAACAGCAUAUGAUAAGUGGCGCAAUUUUAUUUUCAAAGUUUAAUCAAUAGAGAGCUCUUUGAUAUUGCCAUGUACUUUUCAAAUAGAUGAUUCCUAAGAAUGACAGCAAAACAAUUUCUCUAUCAUGGUGUGUAUAUGCUUGGGGUUUAAUCAAUCUGCUUUAGUGAUUGUCAUAAAUUUUGAUAUUCCAAAAAAUAAAUAGAAGCUAUAAAAUAAUUAUGCUCUGGGGUGUCAUCCUGUUGCUGCUUGCCUGGGUCAUCUGACUUCACAAAUAUUUAAAAGGAUGCACAGUCCAUCACUGUGCCAGUUACAAGAGCAUGGGCCGUGUAGCAUUUUAUUCCUAUUUAUUGUAAACCCACACCAGCUAUUGCACAGGAAAUUGAGGUGGAUCUUCAAGGGCUUAAGAAGGACUUUAUGAAUGCCUUGUGUUAAACUUUUGGAAGUGAAUUUGCUCUCAAAUAAGAGGAGCCAGAAAUUACCACCUCACUACACAGCAGCCUCCCCUGUAAUUUUGAUCCCUGUGGGGUCAUCAGAAGUGGCUGAAGCUCCUUCUGUGUGAACCAGAACAUCCACCUAACCCAAAUCCCCUGGGGUGGUCCCUUCAGUGGUCCCAGCACCAAUAUAGGUGCUCUUCUAGGAGUCUGAGAGGAGCAGUACACCCCUGGCCUUUCUCUGGGACGUUUCAAGCCAGUAGAGAGGACUUUGGGGAGAUGCCCAAUGCUCUGGGUGAGCUUUGUUCUUGCUGAGCGGAGCCCAGUUGCCUGUGUCUCUUUUGUUCUUGGAAACAACAGUAGCAGCUGAAAGCUGAACUUUGGAAGAUCAUUUCACAAGCAUUUGAAGGCUGGCCGUGUCCACACAGAGCUGUGGUGCCAGCCCAGCUUGUCCUCCCUAUUGCAGGAGCCUGCAGAAAUUCAUGCUGGCCCCACGAAACCAGUCCCAGGGAAGCCUGCCUGGAACAGACGGUGUCAACGAUUUAUUGGAUGUGGCAGCAGAAGGACACACAUGAUGAGCUUGGAGAUAACCUUUGGCAGGGAACUCUCUCUGUCACUUCCAGUCUUUCUGAUAAAAAAAUAUAGUAACUGGUAGGCAUUUGGGAAACAGGGAAGCUGGAGCAUUUCAGGUGAUUUGACCUGAAUGUAGCAGAGUGCCAUGAGCACUGAUGCAGAACCUCCAGAGAUGUCAGCAGAUCUGUGCCAGGCACCACUGCAGGGUAUGACCCGGUCGGCAUCAGGAUGGAUCCUCAUCUAGCACAGGAAUUCCUCCAGAGCCAUGAGGGAUUUGGGCAGGCUGACAUCAGUGUAAGACCAGGGUUUAAGUGUGCUGUGCAUACUAGAUGAGUUGUUGUAGACACUUGUGAAAAAAAAAACAUCAUUGAAAAUUUAUUUAUUUUUAGCACUUUUUAGUUGCAGCAAGAAGAUCCCAUUGCAACAUCCAGAUAUUACAGCCUCAGCUGUAGCUCCACUUACUUUCAUGCAAGGAUUCAAGAGGAUGACCUAGAGAGAGCAAAGGGUUUUUACUCUUUUUUUUUAAAAAUUUUGUUUUGUAAUAUAUAUGCGUGUGUGUGAGCUCUGUAUGGGUAAAUAUAUACAUGUAAGUAUGGACAUCUGUUUGUUUAAAUAACAUGUGUUUUCCUUUGCUGUCCCUGACCAAUAUCAAUUGCUGUGCUGCCUUUGUAAAUAUGCUGCAAUGGCCGAUUCUUUUGAAUUCUUUGUGCUAUCUUUGCUUAUGCUGAAUAGCAGCUGACACUUUAAUUGGGAUGACUGAGCUGAGUGCAUUCGCCUUUGGAAUUGGACACUUUUCAGUCUGAAGAGAGGGUACCACAGACUGACUUUUCUGUCUUUAUCCUCAACCAAAACUCCAUUAAAUCAGACCUACAGUUUGUAGCAAGGGACAAUCUCCGUUGCAUUGAAACACAUGGGAAAGGCUGGAGACUCAGUUUUGAAGGUUAAUUAGAUCCUGAAAAGAAGAAUUAACUGAAUUUGUUUUCUGUAUUUUUUUCCCCUAUUUUUAAGAAUCUUUUUAAUUACUUUCAUCUCUGUUGGUGAUGACCACUUUUCUCUUUAUAGGAAAAAUAUCAUGUACUUUUGAGUUUAUUAAAAACCUUUUUGAUAGACAGAUUCUAAUUCUCAUUUUAAACAAAAAUAAGCAUAGUGCUGGCACAUUGUGUUAAAAUUUAGGCAUCAGAACUUACUCUAUAUUAAUAUGAGCUAAUCUUUAUUUUUGUUUAACUGAGUGCUAACAUUAUUCAGACUUAGGCACUAAAUGGAAUUUAUUUUUUUUUUUCAGUUGGCUACAUUAUCUUUGGAAAAUGAAGGAAGGAAUAGUUUAGGACAUGACCAUUCAAAAACUCUUUGGUGGGGGUGGAAGUUUCAGCAACCAGUUCUUUUUUUCAGGUUCCUGUUACGCAGCUGCUGUUGACCCUACUAUUGAUUCAGAAAGGUAAAUAUUCUCCUUUUCAACUCUCUCUGGAAGAUUGUCUUUGGCUGCAUGAAAACAUGCUUCUUGUAUUGUUAUAGUAACAAUAUUUAAGUGACCUGCUCGUGUACCAGCAGAAAAAUCACUUCUGUGCCCCUAAAGAAGGCUCUCAAAACCUAAGAGUUCCAGCAAAGACAGUCUCCUUGUGGAAGACCAUGAAAGGUUUGAGCUCUAGGUUUUAGAUCUGUUGUACUGAAUGUAAAAGACCUGGAAAAAGCAAGACUGGACAGAGACUGACAAGAUAGACUUCCAAUCAGUCAUGUUACAAAUAAAAAAAAGUAUUCAAAGUGAAAGAAGCACGGAGGAGGGACUGCUGUGGGAAUGCAAAAGAAAAAUGGGGUAAACUGAAUUUUUAGAGCAUGUUUUGGGGAUCCUGGGGUGAUCAGAAGUAAUCAAAUGUUGGAACUGGAAGCCACGACCAUGUAAAACAGUGCUGAAACUAAUUGUCCUGGUGUGAUGCUGAGGUGAGGUGAUAUCUCCUGGUGUUUAUGAACAAGUGCAUGCUGCAGUUUGCUUUGUUUCUUGGAGUGGAUUGAGGCUCUCUGCAGCUUAUGGCAGAAGGGCAGCCCCAGCUUGUUCUCUCUUUUCCGUAUAUUGGUUACUGAAAAGCAAGAGAUACCAACACUUCUGUAGCUCUGCCCCUCUGUCCCUAGAGGCAGUGUGAGCCAGUCUUCUGCUAUGAUUAAGACCCAUGCACUCUCCUGUUGCAGACCCCUGAAGCCAGUGUGGUGAUUCUCAACUGGGCAAACGCAAGCAAGCAGGAGCCACUGUAAGAACACCUGUCCCUGUGUUUCUCUUGGUGUUCUAGUGCUCUGUUUACAUGAUCACACAUCGGUUUCAGGGCUAAUGACCUGCUUGAGGUGCUGAAGGAAUACAGUCACACAGUUAGUCAGGCUUAGCUUCAGAAAUUAUUGGGACCAUUACUAGAUCUUGGAGUUUUACUUUUCCAUUCUGGCUGUGUUUCAUUCACACUUAGGCAUUUCACACCUGCUGUCAUGGAAGAGUUCUUCAACACAGCCCCAUUUCACACAUCCUCAGGCAUCCAGGAACAUCUGGAAAGUGACUGAUUUCAUCCGGCUUACAGCACAUUCUCAAGUCUUGGCAUUCUUGCUUUCAUGGCUUUGGGGUUUUGCAAUGUAAAAUCAAACAGGCAUCAGUUGACAUAUGCAGAUACAAACAGAUUAACUGGAGGUACAAAGCAGGGAGGUGAAGGGGUUCACAAUUAACUAGUGUUGUCUAAUGGAAGCUGUGUCAUGGAUUCCCCCUGUGGCUUUGAAACUGCUGGCAAAACAAAGUCCAGGCUUAUUUGACACUGAACCCAGUACUACUGCUGGUAUCUGUGCAGUGCCAAGGAACCUUGACUACGGCUCAGAAGCCCCUUGCUCUGGAUAAUGGAAAACACAGAACAAGAUGGUCACUGCCUCAAUUGUAACUGUUGUGUGAAACAGAGAUUCCUUGAUGCCAUCAGUCUCUAAACAGCCUACAGAGAGCACAAAACCAAUCUCCUUUGAAAGAUAGACUUGGUUUUGCUGACGUUAGAAAACAAGUUGUUUGGAUUCCAUACAAGGGAGCAUCUGAUGAUGAGUUGCUUUUAUACAGAGCAAGUCAAGAUGCUUUAUGUAAUUGCUUAGUGUCAGAACAAAGCUGUAUUAACAGAGCUUAGCAAGUUAGGGACCCAAAGCCAUCCUUUUUUGGCACCUCCUGAAAGUAGUAUAUUACUUUGCUCACAGGCAAAGUGCUGUCUGAGCAGAGGAGCUGAGGUAGGCAGACAAAUACCAUGGCCAGGUUCAUGUAAUGCUUGUUGAGGUCAAACCUCCUGGAAGGCAGUGCAACAGAGGUGCUCUGUCCUGAGCUUCUGAGGCUGUCACCUGCUAAUUGGAUAGACUGUCUCUGCCUUAGUACUGAUCAGAGUUAAUGCCCAAGAUCAAAAGAUAGCUCAAUGAAGAUAAAUUUGCAGCAUGAGAGAAUUCAUCAUGUAUUUAAAGUUACUGAAAUGUGCAAUAAGCAAAGCACUGAUAUCAUGGAGGUGUGCAUAAGAAUGUAGUGAGGCAAGAUCCCGAGGCACUCACUGAAUCUGAAGAGUUUACCAUGGAGUUUAAAGAAUAUUAAGGUUCCUAAUUUGUGUUUGAAGUUAUAGACUCCUCCCAAUAUUAAAAUAUAUUAAAAUUCAUCCCUCAGAUUCUCUAGAAAUGGUCCCACAUUUCUAGAAUAUACCACAGGACUUUCUGUUUGCUGUCUGAUCUUUCUACCACUAUAUGAGUAUGUAAAACUGAGGCAAAACUGGCUCCCACUGCCAUAAGUCUGUGAUAUAGGGGACUCCGACUGCAACAAAGGCAGAGAAAUUCCUGCCACACAGAUGUAAGAAUGAGGAAGCACUGUGUUGGGGAUACUAUUCUUUCCCAUUAAGCUUCAGCCUUGUCUUUCAUCACCAAUGAAAAUUUAUUGUCUUACAGCUGAGUACCCCUUACCUCUAUCUUGAAGGGCCUCAAUAAAGGUGAGAACUCAGGCAUUAUGUAAACUGCUGGAACACCUGUUACAGUAAUUUUUCAUUUUACUGAAAUCUGUAAAGUUUUUCCAAUCGCCUUUCAUUCUAUUCAGACACUUUGGGAUAUAUGGCAGGUGAAGGCUUUUGAAAUAGAGUGAAAUCUAACCUGGAAAUGUGGGGGAGCUUUUUUUAAAGCAGGUGUACAUACACACACUUCCUGCACAAACAACCUCCUUUUUGCCCAAGUGGAAGGAGAUGUGUUCUCAAAAUUUGCAGCCAGCACAUCGUGUUUACAUGUGUUACGCUUCCAGGGCAUCAAACAGCGAUCAGCAGGGUAAGGCUGGAGAGGACAGAACCUUUCUUUCUGCUGCAGAACAUUCUGGUGGGGUGUAAGACAGCGAGGAAACAUGGGGACUGCUGAGGAGGUCUGUGCUGUACAGGUAGAACUCACCAUCCUCUGACCAGCAGAAUGCUAAUGCAGAGGAUGAAAAGCACUGUUUAAGGCAGAUGGAGUGUAUUGAGGUGUGUGUGUGUUCUGCUACUUCAUUAGCAGCACUCAGUGUUCCUUCAGUGCUCUGAUCCUUGAUGGCCUUUGAGCAUGAGACUGCUUCCAGUAAUUUGCCUCAUCUACUUCUUCCUUAUCAGAUGGCCUGUAGCAGACACCCACCAUAAUGUCACCCAGCAUGGGCUGCCCUCUGGUCCUGACCCAUAUGCUGCCAACUGUCUUGUCACCUGUCCCAAGGCACAGACAGCUCCAGGUGUCCCAGUUGCUCUCUCACAUAAAGGGCAGCUCUCCCUCCUUGAUGUCCUGGCCUGUCCUCCCUGAAGAGCUGGAUCCAUCCAUAGCAGCCCUCCAUGGCAGCUGACCACCCCCCUCCUGAUCCUACCAAGCUAGUGCAUCACGUGUCUGUGGUGCCAGCAAGAUCAUAGCCCAUCCCAGCACCUUUGCUGCCUUCUGUUUGUCCCCUGUAGUGUACAGACACUGGGGACCAUUAUGAACCACUGUGAGUCAGCAUUUAGACUUUGCACCCUGUUCCAGCAGCAGGCAGGUGCAGGGGAGGUCAACCAGCCCCAGAAGGAUUUCUUUACUUGCACAGCACUUUCCAGCUCCAAUGAACCACUCGACAUCGAGGGGCAGACAUCUCACCAGUGGCUCACACACCUGCCCCAGCACCCUGGUUAGGCUGCCCUGCACUUGUGUGAGCCCAGCUGCCUGUUGGUGUGGCGUUUCACAGGUGUACCAAGUGCACAGAAUUUAGCAAAACUGUGACCUGAGCCCUCUGCACAGCGCUCAUUAGCAGCAGGCUCAGCCCUCAGCACUGCCUGCUGCAUACUAACAACUUGUUUUCACCGUUGCAGGGCAUGGGAACUGCCUCUGUGUGCCGACAUCCUCAGCCAUUCCUCCCGUGGCUGCUCGGGGUGCUGGGGCAGCCCUCGGGGUUUUGGGAGGUCACAGGUGAUCACAUUUACGAGAGGAUAAAAAAGAAACUAUCACUUGUUGAGAAGACUUUUCACAGGAUUUGUGAUAACUCUCCAAAUUCUGAAGCCUGCUGAAAUUUUCCUUGACAGCCUAAACCAAAAUGUGCAGCUCCACCUGAGGCAUCUAAAGGUACAUUUUUGCAUGCUUAAUUGUUGUUGUCUGUAUUCUUGUUUAGAUACAAGUCAUUUAGACUCAACCAAUGACUAGCAGAAGUAAACAAAAUUAUUUGCACGGGAAAAGCAAGCACUAUUUAAAACUAUAUUUUCAGUAACAAGUAACAUAGGCCAUGAAUAAAUUCAAUUUGUGUUUCAAGGGCUUUUUUGCGUGUGCAAAAAUCCAGUAGUGAAAAAAUAGGCUGAAAGAUAAUCUGAGGGGUGCAGUCCAGAACAGCAAUCCAGAAGAGAUGAUCCACAGUAAAAAAUACUGCAAUUUAUUUUUUUUAAUUUACUUCUGCUACUUUAAUUUAUUAUUGUUUAUUCAUUUGAUAGAUGGCAUUUAAUUUCAGUUUGAGAGCUUCAGGAUGAGAGUUUGAUGCUAAUGGUUGGAAUUUAGUCCUGGGCAGAAAGCCAACAUGCCACAGCCAUGUUCCACUUAUGCCCUCCAAGCUGUAUUUAAGUGGCCUUCUGUUGCCCUUAGGGUAUGUUUUACACAGGAAGCUUAAAGCCUAUUGCAGGCCUGUAGCUCACUUGCUGGAGCAAGGGAAAGAUGGCUUUCCCUCUCUUCUGUUCUCUUCAGCAAGAAAAUCAAAUUAUUGGAUUACUGGCCCUUUGAUUGUGCUCAGCACAGAUAGUUCAAAAUCCCAUUUUAUUGGACCUCUGAGAUGAAACGUAAAUGGUUGAGGAAAAAAAAUGCAUUAAAUUGGUCUAAUAUGUCAAUAGUAUGCUAAUACCUGGCUAAGUGGAAUGGCUAUGACUGUUCUUCUAAACAGCCUAAUGUAUGUAACAUUUCUGCUGCUAGACUGCCCAUGUGAAAAAUAAAAACAGUAAACCAAAAAAAGCCACCCAUAGGACCCUAUUAGAGGGAUAAAUUAAUGCAGAUUUUCUUUCCUUGCUUAUUUUUAUUUCUGGAAAAGAAAAUCAAAGCAAACAGAUUGAUCCUUUGCAGGGUCAAAGUUGUAAUUAACUGAGGAUCUAUGCAGCACAUGAAAUAUUGGGGGUAAUAGAUUAGAACCUGACUGCUUUGUUCUACAUAUACCUUCAUAUACAUUGACUUGAACUUUGAAUUUGCUACUCUCAGUCAUUUUUUGUUUCUUGCACAUAUGUUUUAUGUAUUUAUUUAGGGCUAAAUUCUAUUUGUUACCUUGUGUUUUUAAGACACAAUACCAGCAGAGACUGGGAGAAGCAUUGUAAUAGAUUUUAAAUGACUUUAUUAUUGUCAUCAUUGCGCAUAUUCACCCAUAAGUAUCAUGGUCCAAACUAUUUUGAGGUAAAUCAUUAAAUUGUACAAAAUAAAUAAAUAAGUCCAUGUGAAAGUGCAGCUGAAGCGAAUCCCUGUACUUUACAAAGUGGAGAAGAUUUCUUUAAUAGCCAAGGAUUUGAUUCUUCCAUUUUAUAUUAGACUGGUUUCUCUACAUGUUUCUUGUUAAAAUUGUUAUCUCACUGUCCUUUUGUACUGAUGUGUCUCUAGAGCAAUAAAUAGCUAUUGAAAUGCAGCUGUCACUGUGACUGUGUGUGAAUUCCUUUCACUGCCCAGUUUUGAUGAAUGCAGUCUGGACAGGGAGCAGAGGCUGCACCUUUGGAUGAUGGGAGCAGGCUUUUACACUUGUGAAUCUUUAGCAUUAUCUUGAGAAGUAAACUGUCCUUUUGCAGUGAAUCCCUGACAAUGUAUUAGUUCAACUGUGCAUUUACUGAGGGAUAAAAUCUUUCUUCUGUGAGCAGUGGGAAAGCCAGAGAGGCAAACAAAAAAUCAGCCAUGUUCUGCAGCCCUGGACCAAAAGACUUGUCGCUUCCUGAGCCAGCACAGCCCAGCACAGACGCAGGCAGCCAGUGACACCUUCAGCAUGGAAAGUUAUAUGGGACUAAUUUGCGUCCUAGACCAAGUUUCCAACACUGCUCUUCUCACCAGGGCUUGAAGAGGGAUUACUGUGCUCUGUGUUAAGUCUAAUAUAUAGUAUCUAUCUGUAAAAAAUACAACCUGAGAUAAAAUGCUUGCCUAGGGAGUGGGAUAGAGUGGUCCAGGCUCUUCACAGCUUGCAGUGAUUUAAUACCAUUUUUGCUGUCCAGAGAAACAGGCAAUUGUGAUGAGAUUAAAAAAAAAAACAGUCUGCCCUUUGCUCUGCCAGCCCUGGCAUCUGGGUAGAUGCUCAGAUAAGGGUGCCAGUAGGUUGUAGCUGAUCUGCCCCCUGAGACAGCACUGUGUGAAGAGGGAGUGAAGUGAGGGAAGGGAGGGGGAACAGGGCAAAGCAGCCACACUGCAGCAGGUUUAGCUCUAUUUUGGGGGGUGGCAGGGGCAGACCCCGGGAAGCAUCGCAGUGCCUGCCUUGGGGAGGAGUUGCUCUAACCCUGGGAGGCUCAGAGCCUGUCUUUUCCCUUGUCUCCCCCUCUUCUGAUUAAAGCCUGCUUGCUGUUUUCUUCUCAGUGGAAAUCAGCAGCUGUGAGCAGUCAGCAUUUUCACCAGAAGGAGAAGAAGCUGUUCCCUACCCGAACUUUCUGAGGGGUGUGUGGUUCAGUUUGUUGCAAGUGUGUCAGCAAAUUAACAUCACCUCUGUAGGUGAAUGGGCACUGAGUCAGGGUUAGUCUGGCAAGGAGAGGAAUGAGAAAGGUUAGCGCUGACCAGGAGUAUUCAAGCCUGCACACUACUGGGAGGAGGUGUUGAGUAACAUUUUAGCCUGUCUGGAUCUGUCCAAAAUGCUAUCACACUGUAUUAUGUUUCUUUAAUAUCAGCCAGUAAUUCUUCUCAUGAUAUUUGUAGUUAGCAAAUACACGUGUGAUUGUUGUCAAUUGAAGUAAUAAUGGUGUAGUUGGAAAACAUUCUUUUAAAACAAAAAGUGGUAAAAUGGUACUAAGACAACAGUAUAAUGGGAUUACUUUCAUGAAAAUUACAGACUGUGAAUUAUAAAUAAGAGAACAAUAGAAAACUUUUUUUUUUUUAGUGGAAAAUAUAAUAAAUGCAAGGGAAGCCAAAAGUUUCUCAUUGAUCCUUUUCCCAGAGAUCACUCAGGGAACCUCUCAUGCAGAACAGUCUAUCUUUGAAGAAGAUGCAGUUUGUGUAUGUUCAGUCUCUGCAAGUCCCUCACAGCUACAGCAGAGUGUGCACUUGUGGAUCCAUAUUGUUAUGUGCUCUUGGGCUUAUCUCCAUCUGGACUUGAAACCCUGCUUAGAAUAUAUCCUGCCUUCACACUAUGGAAUCGUGCUGCCUAGGCUAUAUUACUGUCCUAAGCUAACCUCUGAAAUGCUGGCUCUCUGGACCAUCAUGGAGUUGAGUCAAUAAUGUUUUGCCUUAUCAAAGCAUUUCUAAAAUCUGAUUUUUCUAGAUAGCUAGGUGGUGUAAUAUUCAGUAUUCUAAUGGAGUUUCUUAAUCUACCGUCACUCUUUACUGUGAUCUUGGCUCAUGUAAUUUGAUUAGCCAUUCAUAACUUUAGUACCUAAUAUAUAAAAAAUGGUAGUGAGCUGAGAACACUGGAAAUAUUCACAAGAAUCAGAAAAGCAGACUGGGAGCUGUGGGCCUUUUGUAACUGCUGACAUAUCCUGAGAGGCCCUUACACUGAAUUUAUCCAGUACUUUUGAGCUCUUGCUUUAUGUUAAAAUAAAUAAAUAAGUAAAGCUCUUAUCUUUAGGCUUGUUGCUUUUUUAUCAAGGGAAGUUUUAAUGAGGAAGUUUAACUCAUCAAUGUUAAAUUUUCUACUAAUUACAUGAAAGUGAUUUUUCCCCUGCAGGCAGGUUCUGUUAUCUGACACUCCUGAACUAGUGGGUAGCAUCCAUGGAUGGUGCUAUCCUACUUUAGUCUUCAAAAAAAAAAAAAAUUCUAGGAAGUUAUUGAUUAGUUAAAUAGACACUUCAGAGCUGCAUGUUGUUUCUGUAAUUCCAGAACUGGGAUAGAUAUGCUCAGUUUUUCUGCUAUAAUAUACACUGCUCCAAGGGCAAGAUGCUUUAUGAUUCAAAAUAAUAUAUUUGACAACAUAAGUGAGGGGUCUAGGUCACACCUAGUAACUUAAGCAUGUGGUUUUGCUCAUUGUUAUAUUAAAAAAACAAACCAAAACAAAUGUAGUUAGGAGAUCAGCAUUCACUCCUGGCACACUGGCUAUUUUUGCAUGCUGGCUGUUUUUCAUUUUACAGGCCUAUCAUGAGCUGAGAUCAAAGUCACUUUUUUUCCCCUACCGAGCAAAUAAAUUGCAAGUCCUGGAGCAGCUCACAAUGUGCUGUAAUUCUUGGCUAUAACAUCUAUGAGAUAUGUUUAAACUGAAUGAUCCACUGCUCAGAGGAGUGAUGGCUUCUUUUAUAGCCCUCUUGUUCUUGUAGACAGUAAACCACUGAAUAGACCAUGAACACAAGGGCAGGAUCACCACAUUGUCAUCUUUUCUGGAGUCUUGCGUGUACUUUUGUCAGUUCUGUGGAGCUCCUUACACCUCACACAUUCAGGACUAACUAGUAGUGGUAUUUUUUCUUCAGUCUAUGUUUUGAAUAUUAAAACUGAUAAUUACUAGUCAAGUUUGUACAUGUCUUUGAAGAAGAUACAAGUAUGUAUCUGCUUUAAACUCACAUGUAACCUAUAUGUAUCAAACCCUUUUUUAUACAUGUUAUUGUUCCUUCCAGUAGGUCUUUCUCCAAUCUGCCCACAAAAUGUUUUUCUACUUCCAGACAGACUCUACACUUCCUAUCUCCUAUUUACUCAGUCACCUUGUAAAUGCAGAGUAUUAUUGUGUAGAGAAAGUGCAGCUUUCUCACCGACUCUGUGACUGAAAAUUGCACUUAUUGUAAUUUUUCUUCUCUCCUGUCCUUGAGAGAUCCAGCAAUAUCAUUUUAUCUAUUACAUGACUUUCUUACUUGACAUUCCUUUGUCAUUGCCAGGCACAAAGAACUGAAAAAGGCUGGGAUAUAUGGGAAAGGAGAGGCCAGGAUUGUUCCACAUAGAUCACAGAGCAGAUGUGCCAGGGAAGGUCUGGUCUGUAAUGCUGCACUAAAGGCAAUUGCAUUGCUUGUCUCUUUAAAUGCUAAAGAAUAACACUCAUGCUCACAGCUUCUUCAUUUGUUAAACUAUCAUAUCCAUAGAAGCAAGGCAACAUUUAACAUUUUUUUGUACUCAUGCUGGCUACUGUGAUUGAAAACCCCCACCCCAGACUUUACUGGGUUUCUACUAGUGAGUGGUAUGCUUUAUACUAGUGAGUGGUAUGCUUGUGGGAUAAACUGUUUUCAUGUAUUAAAUAUAAUGUCUGUCUAGGUACUGAUUUUAUUUUCCUGUUUAAUUUAUUCUCCAGAUUCUCUGGCCUUCAGUCAAUGCACUGGCUGAUUAAAUUAUUAUCCCAAUAAUGAGAUUUGACACAAUCUAUGCCAGUUACCUGUGUGACCUGCUAAGUAGGUUAAUUGGCAACCCUGAAUAAUUAUCAACCACCUCAUCUUGCUGAUUGAGAGUGUGCCAAUAAAUGAAACAUAAAAAUGCUGAAAGAGACACAGUUUUUAAUUUCAACUUCUGAAUUUUUUCAAAGAAACUUUUUAGCUAUUAGCUUAUUAAUAAGACACAGCAAUUUAAAAAAUACCUCUUUUAUUAGUAUAGUUUGCUCUUGUGCAUCAUCACAACUUCCUAGGAGAAAAAGGACUCAGUGACAUAUUAGAUAAACAGGUCCUUCUAUACUGCAACUUGCUUGUAUAAGUGAAUAGUUGCAUCCUCAGAGAGCCAGCUCAAAAGUGAGGAAAAUUCAAGAAGUCAAAGUGAUAUUUGUGGUGACAUUGCAAGACUUAUGUUUUAAUGCCUUUCUGUGAAACCUUGAGAACUAGAAAUUAACUUUAUUGUUCAAUGAAAGCUGUGAUUUUUCUAUUCCCAUUUCUCAGGAAACAAAGUUAAGAAAAAUAAAUAUGGUACCUACUGACUCUGACAUGUAUUGGGUGUAUCUAAUCUUUUCUACUUUGUUCAUUUCUGAAAAGGCAGUAUGGUAUUUUUUUCUACCUUAGAAAAUGUAAGAUUGGAACUUAGAGAGGAAGAAUUGACUGCUAGAGAUGAGAAGAUGGGGGGAAAAUAUGUGAGAUUUAAACUUGUGGUCUUUUCACAAGGUAAUGAGCCCACAUUAGUGGUUCAGAACAAUGGACUUAAUCAGAUUUCUUCUAGAAUAAUUUCUCUGCCCUGGCCAGAAAUCCCAUCAAAACUCGGGGUAGAAAGAACCAUCAAAAAAUCCAUUUCUUGUUAUCAGCAGUUAAUGACUGCAACAAAAAGAAUGUUCACAGAGGCACUUUGGAGACCCCCACUUGUGCUCUGCCCUGUCCUUGGGCAUGUUUGUGGCACAACUGGUGGUCCUGGGCUGGUCCUUCUCCACUGUGACCCUGCAGCCUGUGAGCACAGGCACCACUGAUGGAAUCACACAAAUAAGUAUUAAGUGCAGAGUAAUUUUGGCCCAGCUAAAUCUGAUUAUCAUGUGCCAUCUCUUGUAACAUUUUAGCACAGUCUUCCAGCAAUUAAAGGCUUGCACAGUCCCCUGAUCCACCCCCUCUGGUUGCCACUGACAUUCUUCUACUUCAGCCUCUGUGUGUGUUUCCGUGUUUAAGCUCAUGCCAUAAUGGAAAGCAGAGUGUGCACUUUUCUGUGUUCAGAAAUGGGUCCUUCAAGAAGAUACCCAAUCCAAAGCCACCUCAAUCUUUCAGUUUGUUGGCUUCUGGGCUUUAAGGUGGGCUGAUAUAGUUCAAGAGAGAAUUCUGAUGAAAUCACAUAAACCUGAGCCUGAGCAAGUCAGCAGAGCUCAGAUGUUGAGCGAGUGACUCACAUAUUAACACCAAACAUAUGCUCAAGCCUUUUUCUGGAUCAUGGCCAUAUUGAACUAUAAUGACCUAAAUGGAUUUACUCCCCAGACAAAUUCACCCUUCACUUUCCUCCCACCCACACAUACAUUUGCACCUCAAUCAACCACUUAUGUCUCCUUCUAUUUCCUAUAUCCUACUUUUAUUAAAAACUUUAUGGCUUGUUUAAUCUCUUCUAAGCAUGGCUUUAUUUCCUCUCUUGGUUUCCUCUAUGAUUCAUCAUCAGGGCUUUUUUUGCCCCUACCUAAAGGUUUUCAAUUUCUCUGCACAAAUUUAAUAAAAGCAAAAUUGUUAAGGCUUAUUAAAGAAGCUGUCCUGUCUUUUUGUGCUCCUUCAUCUCACCCCCCUCCUUCCCCUUAAAAAGAUGAAGAAGGUGUUGAAGUUGCACAUCAGGUGAAACUACUGUCUACAAAUGGAAAAAAUAAUAUCUUUCAGCUCUCUUUCUGUGGAUUUUUUUUUCUGGCAUGUGGUCUUGAUGUCUAAAAUUAUAGGCAUUUAGAUGUCAGGUAGCAGAAGAGAAAAAAAUAUUUUAAAAAAAAGGAGGCAUUGUGGCAAAAUAUCAAAGAACUGAUGUGUUGGUGGUAGUUAUAAGGUCUUUUAUUCCUCAAGAAUAGCACAGCUUUAUAAAGUUUUUAUCAUACCUGAUAGAAAAUUAAGGGCUGCUGAUAUUUUGCAGCUCAUUACUCAUUGCUUGUUGAUUACAUAAGUGUUUUUGAAUGAGGGAGCACUGUAAGGUCCUGUGAGAAGCUAAGCUGACAUGACUUCUGUCUUUCCUUUUUUUUACGACAGUCAAUAGCUCAGUUGUAAGGAACAGAAUUGCUCUUUGUGACAUUCUUUUGGGAGAGCUAGCUAAAAUUUGAGAGCAGAAAAGCAUUUCUGGGAAAAAAAACAACCCAGCAUGCCAGACAAAUCAAUAAGUGGACGGAGCCGAGUCUGAGACUUUUGGAUUGGGUUAAAACCUAAAUCAAGAUAGUAUUGACUCUGCAAAGCCUGUAUUUUUGGGGGUGGGUAUAUCAGAAUCAAUAGUGCCUUCUUGCUUUAUUGGAAAACUUCUAUGUAUCUGUGCAAGCAAAUCCAUUCUACAAUUGUAUUUAUUUUCUUGAGCUAAAGUUUUCUAUUUGGUGUGUGUGACCUGUGUGUUGUGGCUCUAUGGAAAUAACAAAAGGUGGAUUGUGUGUGGUAUCUGUCACCAGUGUUCUCUACUGAUGAUAUUUGUAAAGGAAAUGAAAUAUUCUUUGAUGAAUAAAUUAUGUACAACUCAUAUAUGUAAGUUCUCUACCACCUGUUCACCAUUACCUCAGAAAUAAUUAUUUUAUUUUCUGGGAAAAAGAUACAGGCAUACAUUGAUCAGGAUGUGAAAGCAUAAACUGUGGGCUUUAAUGAUCUAAUGCUUUGCAUCUAUGAAGUUUCCCAUCCAAGAUCUUAUUGUAUCCAAUAUAUCCAACAUUACAUUACUUAAAUGUAUCACAUCUUUGCUAAAGCUAGAUGUUUGUAGUCCCGUUUUGCAGAUAAAGCUGCAAGGACAAUGCAAAUUUUACCUGUUUGUGCUCUAAGUUAGUCAAGACUCUUGUGAUCCUACACUUGGGCAAAAGCAUUUGGGCUGAUCCUGACUGUUGGGAAAGCUCAGCUGGGCUUAGUAGUUUAAACUGAGUUAUGUUGCUCUUGUUCAGAACUGGUUUGUGUUGGCCACCUCAGAGUGCACCCAGGGAAAGCCUCUCUCUUUGUUCCCCUGCCUAUAUAGACUUGCCUUAAAUAAAUCUGAAAAAGAGACUUAGGUAUCUUUGAUCAUUUAGAAUGGAGUUGAUCCAGUAUUAGCUUGCUAUAAAGCCACUGAAAAAUGUGAACCUAAUCUCCACAGUUAAACCAUCAAGCACACCAUAACCAGGCCCCUGUCUUCUGCAGGUUUUAGAAAUAAAAAGCAUUGCUAAAAUUUUAAUUAACUAUUUUGUAGAGCAAACCCACUGCAUUCCCAGUGAGCUCAUUAUGGUAGAAAAUGAAUCUAUCACAGUUAACAUUUCCUAACUCCUAAUGCCUCUGAUUUUUGCUUGUGCUACCAGUCUUCCCUUAUCUGCCUCAUAAGUACUCUGAGUGUGGUACCUAUGAAAUAAUAUCCAGGUAUGGUAUUUAAUCUCUUGGCAGGAAAGAAAAAAACACAAUGCACUUACUCAGCAAUUCCUUCUGAAUAAUGGUCUGGUGAUCCGAUUUUCUCCUUCUGGAUACAACCAAGUUAUUACUUCAGCAGAACUGCCUGCAGUGCCAACACACACACAGAUGAAGUCAUAAUAACAGUUCAUUUUACACACACACAUGCACAUCCUCCAAAUGGUGUUCCUAAGAAUAGAGCUUAGAAAACCUUCUUGAUAACAUGAGUAUGAAAGAGGGUUUUGUGCAAUUGAUAUACACGUUCUGCUUGGUGCUUGGUAUUGAUUGCAUCUGCUUCUACAGGAUGUAAAAUAAGUGUGUUAAAUGCUAGAACUGUGGUUCCAAUAAAAUAAAAAUUCUGAAUUA